rnacentral:lncRNA from 1 species
CUCCCACUAUCUCUCUUGAAACCUUUUUCAAUUGUGUUAUACACAUCAAACAUUUUGGAGAGCAUGUGGUUAUUGUUCACUACAUAGUUUACAAUAAACUUAGUGAACAAUUAGGAUAGGGUAACAAAGGUGAAGUCCUUGCCUAGUUUCCGUCUCGUUAAGUGGUUUAUCACUUCAACACUCAAUGAUUCAAAAUCAUCAUAAUUCCAUGUUAAUGGACUAUUUUUGUCAACCAACCAUUAUGUUCUAAACAUAAUUACAAACUUUAAAGAGUUGUACAAGGCAACUUUUAUUUCUUCACACAACAAAUUGUAAGUGAAGAAUCAUGGCACAUAAAGUGUCCAUGCCUUUGU